UAAUAGAAUGCCUGGGGAGGAGAGAAGGAAGGAAUUCUUCCUGAGGAAAGCUUUCAAGCUGAAGAUGAAUCUCAAGGGAGGUUAAAAUGCUUGCAUGGUGGUAAGCCCAGCCUCAAUCUUGAUUGGACUGCAACACCCUUGAGAAGACACAAUAAUGAAAUGGAAGAAACCUUACUCUCUACUUUAGACAGAUGCCAUGUUGAAUACAGGUGGACUGUUGUCCCUCCGUAAGCAAAUUGACUAUACAUCGCUUGCUAUUUGGAACUGAAUUAACAUGUUCAACACAUCACUGAGUAACGUGAAAGUCAUCUUCAUUAAAUGAGGGAAAUAUGGGUUGUCAUCCUAACUCAUCAGAGCAACAUUUCAUAGAACCAUAUGAAGACUAAUGCUAUGAUAAUGUGUCUAUUACAUGCUACCUUGAGGGGAAAAUCCAUUUAUGAUCCUGGACAUAUUUGAACCUUUCUAUGCCUUGCUGUCCAUGUGAAAAUGAAGAGUGUGGAACAAGGAGCAGGAGUUAUGCAGGGGAGGCUGAGGACCAUCCAGACCUUAUUCACUCGUCCUUCCCCUUCCACCCCAAGGAUGUCCAUACCCUACAGCCGCCAGCUUUAAUAAAGGAAAAUGCACAACAUCCAAUCACAUUUGAAUGUCAGAUAAACAAUGAAUAAUUUUAUAGCACAAGUGCUAUAGCACAAAUAAAUAUUUGUGACAUAUCUAUAAUAAAAUUAUUUGGUUUUUUAGAUGAAAUUCAAAUUUAA